UGACAAACAUGUCAAAUUUCCUCUGGGAUGUUUCUACCCGAUAGGUAUCUGAUAGAGCUGUGGUAGAUGAUGAUGUCUACAAAACCUCUUGCACCUCCUCCAAAAAAGAAGACAAAAGCAGAACAGAAGAGCUUAACCUUAUACACAUGGCUUACCAAAAAGAAUGGAUGCUGAACUGACACGAUACCCAAGGGAAGAGGCACUAGAUACUCCGGCAGGCCGUUUAAUGUGGUGGUGAGACAAUGAAUCCAGGUUUCCUUUCAUUUCCAAGUUGGCAAGAAAUUUGUGCAACAAGUACUGCUUACUUUGGAAGGAAUGUCCAAUACAGCUGGGAAUAUUGUGACCUGCCAGAGAAAUUUAGCAUGCUAGUUUCUUUCCAAUAAUCUACCAAGCCAUUAAGGAGCAGGAUUGGAUUUGUUUUGGAAUGUGAUUUAUGGCCUGUUCUGCUAUGUUAGUUUAUUGUGAUUAUUUGUUUCUGUUAUUUACAGUUUUUUCAACUUUAUGAAAUAUGUUUAUGACUUUAUUUGGGAAUGAGAAAUUUUCAGUUUUUUAUUUUAUGGUCAUGUUUUGUGAUUGUUUCUGUUAUUCAUAUUUUCACAUUUUUAUUUACAUUUGUUCUUUAAAAAAAUCAUUUAAUAAAUUACUUGAAUAUUUAAA